AGAUGUGAGGGCGAUCUGGCUGUGACAUCUGUCACCCCAUUAGAUCACCGUGGUAUGGCUGGCUAGGUGUGGGUCCUUUCCUCCCUCACCACUCCAUGUGAGUUCCUCCCAAACCUGCAACCUUGGACAAAGAGGUCCGUUUCCUCCAUCAAGGGUAUACAAGUAGCUCUCCUCCCCUGCUAUAACCUCCAAACAAGCUCUCAAAAUAAACUUUCCUCCCUUAAGUUAUGGAUGUCAGGUACUAUAUCUCAAUGAGAAAAAUGACU
rnacentral:snRNA from 1 species